rnacentral:rRNA from 1 species
AGUGAACGCUGGCGGUAUGCCUAACACAUGCAAGUCGAACGGCAGCGCGGUCUGCGCCCGCUCGUCCAGGUGGCGACUGGCGGGUGAGUGAUCAGUACGUCGCCAUCUAUUUUGUCGAGGGCGGCAACGGCGGGAUUAAUACGGCAUACCACCUUACGAUGUAAGGGUGGGACCGAAAGGCCUCCGGACCUUGCGCGGUCGGAUGUGGCGAUGUCGGAUUAGCUAGUUGGCGGGGUAAAGGCUCACCAAGGCGACGAUCCGUAGCUGGUCUGAGAGGAUGAUCAGCCACACUGGAACUGAGACACGGCCCAGACUCCUACGGGAGGCAGCAGUGGGGAAUAUUGGACAAUGGGCGCAAGCCUGAUCCAGCCAUGCCGCGUGCGUGAAGAAGGCCUUCGGGUUGUAAAGCGCUUUUGUUGGGGAAGAAAAGCAGCAGGUUAAUACCCCGGUGUUCUGACGGUACCCAAAGAAUAAGCACCGGCUAACUACGUG